rnacentral:tRNA from 1 species
GCCGGAUUAGUUCAGUGGGAGAACGUCUGCUUUACACGCAGAAUGUGGAGGGUUCGAUUCCUUCAUCCGGUAC